AGUCCCUAACGAUUGCAAACACCUGAAUGAAGCUGAAGGCGGGUCCGAAAGGCUUCAUUUGGUGACCCCGACGUGAUCGUUAGGGAAC
rfam:Callipepla squamata strain Texas jcf7180005154066, whole genome shotgun sequence.